rnacentral:lncRNA from 1 species
GAAAAAAAUGUAUUUAAAAAAAAAUGGAACCCAAACCGGGCAUAGUUUUUUAUUUUCUUUAUUUGGAUCUAUUUUAUUUUUUCGACGUAAAAGAAUAUUUGGUAUAAAUUAAGAUUUAUGUCAAUUUGAAUCUAACACCCUUCCUUUCUCUUCAAUAUAGCUUUUGGCGACUAGAGAAAUUAUAUCUUCUUAAACAAUAUUAAUAUUCUCCUUUUAAAUUGAGAGUCUCAUUAUAUAUUCGAUAUUUAUUUAUUUAUCUUGGUCAAAUCUCUUAAAAAAUUAAAUUUACAUGAAAUUAUUUUGAAGUUUAGUGACCACUCAAAAACAUUUUAAAGUUCAACGAAUAACGCGUAACGAACAUAUAAGUUCAAUAACUAAUGAACAUAAUGAAUAUGAGUGAUGAAGUGCAACGUGUAAAAAUUCAGAUCAUGAGUAAGUGAUAAAGUGUAAUGUGUUAAAGUUCAGUGAUUACUCAAGUAUAAUUUAAAGUUCAGGGAAUAAAAUGUGCCAAAAGUAUAAAUUCAAUGACAAAUAAAAUAUGUAACUCAAUUUCUUCUUCUCUGAGCACUAUUAUGCAAAAAACCGUGGGUUGUUUUUAUUUAUUAUUAGAUUUAAAUUAGCCACAUCUUAUACUAGCUUCAUCCAUACUACAAUAUCAAUCUAAGCACGAUAUAUUAAAUUUAAUUAAAAAUAAAAGCACGUCAGUAUGAUGUCAUUUAAACUUGUGUUGUAACACUGUUAAAUAGAUUAUUCUUUUUACGCAAUAUGUUACUCUAGAGAUCAAUUUUAGUUGUUUGGACACAUUUUAUCCAUGUAGUUUAUUUUUCUCUUAACAGAAGCGAAACUCGAAAAUUACAAAAUAAUUGUGCUCGGUGUACAAUUACUGCUAGUGAUUUCGAGCUAACUGCAAAUUGGAAUGUAUACAAAUGAACAUUUUGUUUGAAGCCCAGAAAAAGAAAACAAUUAAUCAGGGGAAUUUGGAGUUUAGAACUAUGUACAUGAUCAACUCAUAGAUCUGAAAUACAUGAUUUGUAAAGAUACAUAUUGCACUGGAUAAAAGGGGAUUGGACUAGAAUUUACAAUUUUUGAUAGCCUACCAUUCCCAGCAGAAACCUCAUUUUCACUCUUCAAUUACCAGUUACACAUUUCCACAACAUCCUGAAGCCUCCUCUCCAGCGCGGCAGCGGAGGAAUCCACGGCUGCAGACUCUUUGACUUGUGACGAUUCUCGUCGGAAUACGGUUUCGAAACGGGAAACGCACUUUGCGAUUGACUCUUUCGCUUGAAAACCAGAUGCAGAAGGCGAGGAUGAACAAUUGGAAAUACGCGACGACGUUGGUCUGGUGUGGUGCCCUAAUAUGAGCAUUGCUGCUGUUGGUGCCAUGCCUUGGUGGAAUCCAGAUGAAUUAUUUGAAGCAAAUUUUGUUGAAGAUGAAGAACGAUGUGUUUGUGGUGGUGAGAGUUUUAAUUUGCGAUGAAGGAAACAAACUGUGGGCUCUGCUGUUGGUUUUGAGUUUUGGAGUCUGAUCCCAAUCUACUGACUUUUGUUAAAUCAGGUAAAUUCACAUUAAUUUAUUUUACUUUAGUUACAUCAUUCAAUUUUACCACUUAAAUUGACAGAAAAUAACGAUGAUGGUCGUCUCGCAUCGGCCCGGUUUCAUGUGAUGAACAUCAUUUAUUGAUCAAUACGGCACAAUUUUUGUUGAUGAAGUUGAAAGAAAUAACCUUAAUUGAAAUCAAAUUAAGGACUUAUCUGCUGCGGCUUCUAAACGGAAAAAAGUAAAUUCUUUUUAAGCCCUUUUUGGUCAGUUGGGACCUACAUGUGAGAGUUGCAGUCAAAAAGGCAGGCUGCCAACAGUAAAAUUUACCCAAAAAAUCAGCUCCAAACAGGGACUAAAAUAUAUUUACUUGAUUAAAAUCAAAUAAAAGCACACUUAUCUACUAAACAUUAGAGCAAAGUUUCACGAGUAAAAUUUAACCUGCAUUUUGUGCAUCGCACAUGUCAUUUUAACAGUCUUCAACGGGUUGGUAUUAAUCACUUUUCAGGGACUAGAGUGCAACAUAUGUCAAAUUUACGAGAUGUAAAUAUUGCUUAUUAAAAGUUAUGAACCAAAGUGUAACAUAAGGUAAAAAUUGGGGAUAUCUACUGCUAUCUUGACUUGAUUGUGACUGCGAAAUGAGAAGUUAUUGGCGCAGGAUAGCGACGUAAUGCUUAUCCUUCUUGGCUAGUUUUGAGUUUAGCCUACAUGUCACCAUGUCCUAUUUAAUAGACGUCCCGUCAUUUUAACAACGAUCAUAACUAUUAAGCGCAUAGGACUUUUUUCUCUCUAGUUUUAUCUAGUUGAAUAUGA